rnacentral:lncRNA from 1 species
UCCAACUGCUUUGAUCCAUUGCACCAUCAUCGAUAUCAAAAACAUCCUAACUUACCACACUACGUGCUACGCCAACCCCAAAAUUUCUCAGUAAUUUUCCAUUGGAGGCAUCCCAAAUGGUGGCAUUGGCGGCAUUCCCAUACCAGGCAUUCCCAUACCAGGCAUUGGUGGUGGCAUUCCCAUACCAGGCAUUGGUGGUGGCGCACCAUAAGGCCCGCCCAUGUUUGAUCCUCCCAUACUAGGCAUAGGUGGUGCUGGUAAAGCAAGAGGCAGCAACUGUGCAUACAUAUUCUGCAGAAAAAUACGACAUAU